GGCGCCCGUGCUGCAGUGGUGGCGAGCAGGACACUAGCUCUGUCCUCAGCUGGGGCCACUGGGCCACUGGCUCAGCCUGAUCACAAAACAGCAAAGGAUCAAGGAACAUUGGAAGGUUAGAAACAGGCUCUGGUUUCUGUGUUACCUUUUUCCCCAAAUUAUUUUUUACUGUGGUAAAAGCUGUACAACAUAAACUUUACCAUCUGAACCACGUCCAAGUGUCCGGUUCAGUGGUGUCAAGUUCAUUCCCACUGUCGUCCACCCAAUUCCCAGAACUCUUUCACCUUGUGAAACUGGAACUCUGUGCCCAUUAGACGACUGCCCCAGCCGCUGGCCGCCGCCCUUCCACUUUCCGUUUCUACGAAUUUGACGACUCUAGGUGGAAUCGUGCAAUAUUGGUUUCUGUGUUCCUUUGGAAAGUCUGGGCUUUUGGGGAGCUUCACGGUGGCCGUCAGUGCGUACGCCGUCCUCCUGCGUCUCCAGCUGCUGCUUCUCUGUCUCCCUGGGGUGUCCUGCCUGUGUCGGCCCCCAGGUGCCGCCUCUCCCUCCUCCGUGCUUGGCCAGCGUAGCCUUCCCUUCCACACUCUUCCUGGGCGCUCCCCCCCAGCCAGGGCUUCUGUCACCUCUAAUAGGUGAUGGCCCCUUGGUGGCCUUAAGGCUUCAUCCUCCCCCAGGCCUUUGCCCUGCAGCCCCUGCCCAGCGGCUCCCUGUCCUGGCUCCCUGUCCCAGCUCCCCGUCCCGGCUCACUCCUGCGCAUCCCUCGGGCACAGCCUUCCUGACAGACACCAGAGAGCUCCUGGCCUGUUUCCUUGCCUGUGUCCCCGCUAGGGUGUGAGCUGUCCAAGGCUGAGUCUCCUUCCUCCUGACAUCCCAGCCUCGCAGACAUCAGGAGCUCAGGAAAUAUUUGGCAAAUGAGUGGAUAAAGGAAUCUUACAACACAGCUCAGUGGAAAAGUACAACCAGGAGAAAGGGUUCCAGGUGAAGAUGGAAAAGGAAGAAGCGAGGGGAUGGGAGGAGUGCUCAGAUGCUAAUUACCAGCGCUUCCCUCAGACAAAUUAUAAACAGGCAGUUAAAGAAUGCUCCCGCUGCACCAACGAAGCAGAGCAGCCUUUAAACACUCUGGAUGUCAACAUGCCCUAAUUUCAAAAGCACUAGAGCUGUGUAUAGCCCCAAAGAUAAUUUUUUUUCUCCAAGGAAUGAUUCAAUAGAGUU